rnacentral:rRNA from 1 species
GGGUUGUGAGGUUAAGCGACUAAGCGUACACGGUGGAUGCCCUGGCAGUCAGAGGCGAUGAAGGACGUGCUAAUCUGCGAAAAGCGUCGGUAAGGUGAUAUGAACCGUUAUAACCGGCGAUGUCCGAAUGGGGAAACCCAGUGCAAUUCGUUGCACUAUCGUUAACUGAAUACAUAGGUUAACGAGGCGAACCGGGGGAACUGAAACAUCUAAGUACCCCGAGGAAAAGAAAUCAACCGAGAUUCCCCCAGUAGCGGCGAGCGAACGGGGAGCAGCCCAGAGUCUGAAUCAGCUUGUGUGUUAGUGGAACGGUCUGGAAAGUCCGACGGUACAGGGUGAUAGUCCCGUACACCAAAAUGCACAGGCUGUGAACUCGAAGAGUAGGGCGGGACACGUGGUAUCCUGUCUGAAUAUGGGGGGACCAUCCUCCAAGGCUAAAUACUCCUGACUGACCGAUAGUGAACCAGUACCGUGAGGGAAAGGCGAAAAGAACCCCGGCGAGGGGAGUGAAAAAGAACCUGAAACCGUGUACGUACAAGCAGUGGGAGCACCUUCGGGUGUGACUGCGUACCUUUUGUAUAAUGGGUCAGCGACUUAUAUUCUGUAGCAAGGUUAACCGUAUAGGGGAGCCGCAGGGAAACCGAGUCUUAACUGGGCGUUAAGUUGCAGGGUAUAGACCCGAAACCCGGUGAUCUAGCCAUGGGCAGGUUGAAGGUUGGGUAACACUAACUGGAGGACCGAACCGACUAAUGUUGAAAAAUUAGCGGAUGACUUGUGGCUGGGGGUGAAAGGCCAAUCAAACCGGGAGAUAGCUGGUUCUCCCCGAAAGCUAUUUAGGUAGCGCCUCGUGAACUCAUCUUCGGGGGUAGAGCACUGUUUCGGCUAGGGGGUCAUCCCGACUUACCAACCCGAUGCAAACUACGAAUACCGAAGAAUGUUAUCACGGGAGACACACGGCGGGUGCUAACGUCCGUCGUGAAGAGGGAAACAACCCAGACCGCCAGCUAAGGUCCCAAAGUCAUGGUUAAGUGGGAAACGAUGUGGGAAGGCACAGACAGCCAGGAUGUUGGCUUAGAAGCAGCCAUCAUUUAAAGAAAGCGUAAUAGCUCACUGGUCGAGUCGGCCUGCGCGGAAGAUGUAACGGGGCUAAACCAUGCACCGAAGCUGCGGCAGCGACACUAUGUGUUGUUGGGUAGGGGAGCGUUCUGUAAGCCUGCGAAGGUGUGCUGUGAGGCAUGCUGGAGGUAUCAGAAGUGCGAAUGCUGACAUAAGUAACGAUAAAGCGGGUGAAAAGCCCGCUCGCCGGAAGACCAAGGGUUCCUGUCCAACGUUAAUCGGGGCAGGGUGAGUCGACCCCUAAGGCGAGGCCGAAAGGCGUAGUCGAUGGGAAACAGGUUAAUAUUCCUGUACUUGGUGUUACUGCGAAGGGGGGACGGAGAAGGCUAUGUUAGCCGGGCGACGGUUGUCCCGGUUUAAGCAUGUAGGCUGAUUGUCCAGGCAAAUCCGGAUAAUCAAGGCUGAGGUGUGAUGACGAGGCACUACGGUGCUGAAGUAACAAAUGCCCUGCUUCCAGGAAAAGCCUCUAAGCAUCAGGUAACAUCAAAUCGUACCCCAAACCGACACAGGUGGUCAGGUAGAGAAUACCAAGGCGCUUGAGAGAACUCGGGUGAAGGAACUAGGCAAAAUGGUGCCGUAACUUCGGGAGAAGGCACGCUGGUGUGUAGGUGAAGCCCCUGCGGGUGGAGCUGAGACCAGUCGAAGAUACCAGCUGGCUGCAACUGUUUAUUAAAAACACAGCACUGUGCAAACACGAAAGUGGACGUAUACGGUGUGACGCCUGCCCGGUGCCGGAAGGUUAAUUGAUGGGGUUAUCCGUAAGGAGAAGCUCUUGAUCGAAGCCCCGGUAAACGGCGGCCGUAACUAUAACGGUCCUAAGGUAGCGAAAUUCCUUGUCGGGUAAGUUCCGACCUGCACGAAUGGCGUAAUGAUGGCCAGGCUGUCUCCACCCGAGACUCAGUGAAAUUGAACUCGCUGUGAAGAUGCAGUGUACCCGCGGCAAGACGGAAAGACCCCGUGAACCUUUACUAUAGCUUGACACUGAACAUUGAGCCUUGAUGUGUAGGAUAGGUGGGAGGCUUUGAAGCGUGGACGCCAGUCUGCGUGGAGCCAACCUUGAAAUACCACCCUUUAAUGUUUGAUGUUCUAACGUUGGCCCCUGACCGGGGUUGCGGACAGUGUCUGGUGGGUAGUUUGACUGGGGCGGUCUCCUCCCAAAGCGUAACGGAGGAGCACGAAGGUUAGCUAAUCCUGGUCGGACAUCAGGAGGUUAGUGCAAUGGCAUAAGCUAGCUUGACUGCGAGCGUGACGGCGCGAGCAGGUGCGAAAGCAGGUCAUAGUGAUCCGGUGGUUCUGAAUGGAAGGGCCAUCGCUCAACGGAUAAAAGGUACUCCGGGGAUAACAGGCUGAUACCGCCCAAGAGUUCAUAUCGACGGCGGUGUUUGGCACCUCGAUGUCGGCUCAUCACAUCCUGGGGCUGAAGUAGGUCCCAAGGGUAUGGCUGUUCGCCAUUUAAAGUGGUACGCGAGCUGGGUUUAGAACGUCGUGAGACAGUUCGGUCCCUAUCUGCCGUGGGCGCUGGAGAAUUGAGGGGGGCUGCUCCUAGUACGAGAGGACCGGAGUGGACGCAUCACUGGUGUUCGGGUUGUCAUGCCAAUGGCACUGCCCGGUAGCUAAAUGCGGAAGAGAUAAGUGCUGAAAGCAUCUAAGCACGAAACUUGCCCCGAGAUGAGUUCUCCCUGAGACUUUAAGUCUCCUGAAGGAACGUUGAAGACGACGACGUUGAUAGGCCGGGUGUGUAAGCGCAGCGAUGCGUUGAGCUAACCGGUACUAAUGAACCGUGAGGCUUAACCUUACAACGCCGAAG